rnacentral:tRNA from 1 species
GGCCCGGUAGCUCAGCGGUAGAGCAGGCGACUCAUAAUCGUCCGUGCACAGGUUCGAAUCCUGUCCGGGCCA